rnacentral:rRNA from 1 species
AGGACGAACGCUGGCGGCGUGCCUAACACAUGCAAGUCGAGCGGGGACAUCGACGGACCGGGAAGUUUCGGAUGGAAGGGAAGAUGAAUGUUCUAGCGGCGGACGGGUGAGUAACGCGUGAGCAACCUGUCCUCACAGGGGGAUAACACAGCGAAAGUUGUACUAAUACCGUAUAAGACCACGGCGGGGCAUCCCGAAGGGGUCAAAGGAGCAAUCCGGUGAAGGGUGGGCUCGCGUCCGAUUAGAUAGUUGGUGAGGUAACGGCCCACCAAGUCGACGAUCGGUAGCCGACCUGAGAGGGUGAUCGGCCACAUUGGGACUGAGACACGGCCCAAACUCCUACGGGAGGCAGCAGUGGGGAAUAUUGGGCAAUGGGGGGAAACCCUGACCCAGCAACGCCGCGUGAGGGAAGAAGGUUUUCGGAUCGUAAACCUCUGUCCUUGGUGAAGAGGAAGAGACGGUAGCCAAGGAGGAAGCCCCGGCUAACUACGUGCCAGCAGCCGC